CAGACAGACAGACCAUCAGGAGAACAGAGCAGACAGACAGACCACCAGGAGAACAGAGCAGACAGACAGACCACCAGGAGAACAGAGCAGACAGACAGACAAACCAUCAGGAGAACAGAGCAGACAGACAGACCAUCAGCAGAACAGAGCAGACAGACAGACCAUCAGGAGAACAGAGCAGACAGACAGACAAACCAUCAGGAGAACAGAGCAGACAGAUAGACCAUCAGGAGAAAAGAACAGUCAGACAGACAAACCAUCAGGAGAACAGAGCAGUCAGACAGACCAUCAGGAGAACAGGUUGGAGGAAGAGAAGAGAAUGGAGGAGGGAAUGGAGGAGAGGAAGAGAGAAGAGGUUGGUGGAGAAGGAGAGGAAGAGAGAAGAGGUUGGUGGAGAAGGAGAGGAAGAGAGAAGAGGUUGGUGGAGGAGGAGAGGAAGAGAGAAGAGGUUGGUGGAGGAGGAGAGGAAGAGAGAAGAGGUUGGUGCAGGAGAGGAAGAGAGAAGAGGUUGGUGGAGGAGGAGAAGAAGAGAGAAGAGGUUGGUGGAGGAGGAGAGGAAGAGAUAAGAGGAUGGAGGAGGAGGAGAGGAAGAGAGAAGAGGUUGGUAGAGGA
ensembl:lncRNA